GCGCUUCCGUGGAGUCUUGGGGCAUCCU
rnacentral:sRNA from 1 species